rnacentral:tRNA from 1 species
AGUAAAGUCAGCUAAUAAAGCUAUCGGGCCCAUACCCCGACAAUGUUGGUUUAAGUCCUUCCUCUACUA